rnacentral:tRNA from 1 species
GUGAAUAUAGUUUACCCAAAACCCUAGAUUGUGAAUCUAGUAAUAGAAUCUCGACCAUUCUUAUUCACC